rnacentral:lncRNA from 1 species
AUUAUUAUAAUUAAGUCUCAUAAUCUUAUUCUGCUAAUGUAUUUAAUCAUUGUUGCGUUAUUGCUCGCAGUACUGGCGCAUUAUUUCUAUAUUAUAUAUUCAAGUAAAUUGAGUUGUCAGAUUUGAUUGCGAUAAUUUAGUAAAUUUAAGCUAAAUAUUAUUAUAAAUUAAAGUUUGAGGAUCAAAAUGUCACGCAUCUCAUAAUUUGAGUGCCAAAAGUGUAAUUUUUACUUAAGUUUUAUUUUGAAAGUAAUGU